CCAACCGCAGAGAGAGAGGAGUGUUACUAUGGGAUCCUUCCCACCAACGCAGAGAGAGAAGAGAGAUGUUUACUUAUGGAUCCUUCCCACCAACGCAGAGAGAGAGAGAAUGUUUACUUAUGGAUCCUUCCCACCCAACGCAGAGAGAGAGAGAUGUUUACUUAUGGAUCCUUCCCACCAACUGCAGAGAGAGAAGGAAAUGUUUACUUAUGGAUCCUUCCCACCAAUCGCAGAGAGGAGCGAGAGAGAGAUGUUUACUUAUGGAUCCUUCCCACCAAGCAGCGAGAGGAGAGAGAGAUGUUUACUUAUGGAUCCUUCCCCCCAAUGCCACGAGAAGAGAGAGAUGUUUAUUAUGAUCCUUCCCACCCCAAGCAGAGAGAGAGAGAUUUGUUACUUAUGGAUCCUUCCCACCAAUGCCGAGAGAGAGAGAUGUUUACUUAUGGAUCCUUCCCACAAAGCGAGAGGAGAGAGAUGUUACUUAUGGAUCCUUCCCACCAAUGCAGAGAGAGAGAGAGAUGUUUACUUAUGGAUCCUUCCCACCAACGCCGAGCGAGAGAGAGAUGUUUACUUAUGGAUCCUUCCCCACAACGCCAGAGAGAGAGAGAGAUGUUUACUUAUGGAUCCUUCCCACCAAUGCAGAGAGAGAGAGAUGUUUACUUAUGGAUCCUUCCCAACAAUGCAGAGAGAGAGAGAUGUUUACUUAUGACCUUCCCACCAAUGCAGAGAGAGGAGAGAUGUUUACUCAUGGAUCCUUCCCACCAACGCAGAGAGAGGAGAGAUGUUUACUCAUGGAUCCUUCCCACCAACGCAGCGAGAGAGAGCAGAUGUCUACUCAUGGCUCCUCUCCACCAACGCGAGAGCGAGAGAUUGUACUCAUGGAUCCUUCCCACCAACGCAGAGAGAGAGAGAUGUUACUUCAUGGCAUCCUUCCCACCAUAAGCAGAGAGAGAGGCAGAUGUUUACUCAUGGAUCCUUCCCCACC
rnacentral:lncRNA from 1 species